GACGAACGCUGGCGGCGCGCCUAACACAUGCAAGUCGAACGGAGUCAAGAGGAGCUUGCUUUUCUUGACUUAGUGGCGAACGGGUGAGUAACGCGUGAGUAACCUGCCCUGGAGUGGGGGACAACAGUUGGAAACGACUGCUAAUACCGCAUAAGCCCACGGAUCCGCAUGGAUCUGCGGGAAAAGGAUUUAUUCGCUUCAGGAUGGACUCGCGUCCAAUUAGCUAGUUGGUGAGGUAACGGCCCACCAAGGCGACGAUUGGUAGCCGGACUGAGAGGUUGAACGGCCACAUUGGGAAUGAGACACGGCCCAGACUCCUACGGGAGGCAGCAGUGGGGGAUAUUGCACAAUGGGGGAAACCCUGAUGCAGCGACGCCGCGUGGAGGAAGAAGGUUUUCGGAUUGUAAACUCCUGUCGUUAGGGACGAUAAUGACGGUACCUAACAAGAAAGCACCGGCUAACUACGUG
rnacentral:rRNA from 1 species